AGUGAACGCUGGCGGUAGGCCUAACACAUGCAAGUCGAACGGCAGCACAGUAAGAGCUUGCUCUUGCGGGUGGCGAGUGGCGGACGGGUGAGGAAUACAUCGGAAUCUACUUUUUCGUGGGGGAUAACGUAGGGAAACUUACGCUAAUACCGCAUACGACCUACGGGUGAAAGCAGGGGAUCUUCGGACCUUGCGCGAUUGAAUGAGCCGAUGUCGGAUUAGCUAGUUGGCGGGGUAAAGGCCCACCAAGGCGACGAUCCGUAGCGGGUCUGAGAGGAUGAUCAGCCACACUGGAACUGAGACACGGUCCAGACUCCUACGGGAGGCAGCAGUGGGGAAUAUUGGACAAUGGGCGCAAGCCUGAUCCAGCCAUACCGCGUGGGUGAAGAAGGCCUUCGGGUUGUAAAGCCCUUUUGUUGGGAAAGAAAAGCAGCAGGUUAAUACCCCGCUGUUCUGACGGUACCCAAAGAAUAAGCACCGGCUAACUUCGUG
rnacentral:rRNA from 1 species